rnacentral:rRNA from 1 species
GACGAACGCUGGCGGCGUGCUUAACACAUGCAAGUCGAACGGAAAGGCCCCUUUGGGGGUACUCGAGUGGCGAACGGGUGAGUAACACGUGAGUAACCUGCCCUUGACUUCGGGAUAACUUCAGGAAACUGGGGCUAAUACCGGAUAGGAAUCCUUGCUGCAUGGUGGGGGUUGGAAAGCUUCGGCGGUUUUGGAUGGACUCGCGGCUUAUCAGCUUGUUGGUGGGGUAGUGGCUUACCAAGGCUUUGACGGGUAGCCGGCCUGAGAGGGCGACCGGCCACAUUGGGACUGAGAUACGGCCCAGACUCCUACGGGAGGCAGCAGUGGGGAAUAUUGCACAAGGGGCGGAAGCCUGAUGCAGCAACGCCGCGUGCGGGAGGACGGCCUUCGGGUUGUAAACCGCUUUCAGCAGGGGCCAAGCUUGUGGUGACGGUACCUGCAGAAGAAGCACCGGCUAACUACGUG